rnacentral:rRNA from 1 species
GUGGGGAAUAUUGGACAAUGGGCGCAAGCCUGAUCCAGCCAUGCCGCGUGAGUGAUGAAGGCCCUAGGGUUGUAAAGCUCUUUCACCGGAGAAGAUAAUGACGGUAUCCGGAGAAGAAGCCCCGGCUAACUUCGUGCCAGCAGCCGCGGUAAUACGAAGGGGGCUAGCGUUGUUCGGAAUUACUGGGCGUAAAGCGCACGUAGGCGGACAUUUAAGUCAGGGGUGAAAUCCCGGGGCUCAACCCCGGAACUGCCUUUGAUACUGGGUGUCUGGAGUAUGGAAGAGGUAAGUGGAAUUCCGAGUGUAGAGGUGAAAUUCGUAGAUAUUAGGAAGAACACCAGUGGCGAAGGCGGCUCACUGGUCCGGUACUGACGCUGAGGUGCGAAAGCGUGGGGAGCAAACAGGAUUAGAAACCCCAGUAGUCC